ACCUACUGACAUGGACAGUAUAAAGCAUGUGCAUGUGCAGAUAGGAGGCUAAUCCACGUUCAAGAUGAGAGGGCUCACACUGAUCUGUUUGUUUGGACUAAUUGUCAUAGCAACGGCUCUGUGGCCAGAAGGGAGUCAAUUUCCGAUGGAGGGCGAGUUCAACACAACCAACACGACCAACACAUCGACGGUCCAACAGGAAAGACAAAACAAUAUAAGUGCAGUGUGGGUUGGCACUCGGGAACCAAUUGACAAUGAUGAAGGGUUCCCACCACUUCCUGAUGGAGACAACACCCAGUGAAAGACAACACGCAGCGGAGGACUCAACUCAACAGAUAAAGACACAUUUAAAGUCCUAAUGGAGCAGUACUGCCACCAGGAUGAGAAUCCACCAGGCACAUCAUCGUUCUGCUACUGCUUCUUUUAAUUAAACAUGUUAUCAAAACUAUUAUGUGAAAAUGUAAUUUCAUUUCCUAAUUUGGUUAUCUUAAGGUCAGUUAAACUUUCUGGGUCUAUUAACAAAAUUGACAACUACUCUGAUAAAACAAGAUAAUAAUUCAUUAUCACAAAAAAAACACAUUGUGGACCACCAAAUAAGCAUUAAUCUACAGCAAAAAUAUUCCCCAGCAAAUACACUAUUUACUAUUACAACAGAGUUGAACAAUUAAUCAAUUUAUUAAUGUAAAAUUUAUCUCCAAGAUGAUUCCCACAUUUCAUGGACAAAAUAUCAAAACCUUUCCAUGACUUUUCAAGGAGGCUUGUUUCUAAAUGAAAAUAAUUCUUUUAGGAAAGACCCCCCCCCAAUUGAUUAACAGUUUUGUCUGUGAAAUGUUAAGAAAUAGUGAAGUAUCAGUGAGAUAUCCAGUAUAAAUUCACAGAUCCCGAGGUGACAUCUACAAAUUCCAUGUUUUGUCCACACAUCAAGUCAAAGAUAGUCAGUUUAUUAUCACAUAAUAUAGAGUAAAGCGGCAAAUUGUCACUUUUGAAAAGCUCACAUUUGGAGAAUAUUUUGGAUUUUUGAUGGGGGGAAAAAGGAAUAAAAUGAUUAUCAGCAGGGUUCCCACAAUCAUGAAAAACCAGAAAAAAACUGAAAAAUCACAUUGUCCAGGCCUGGAAUAGUCAUGAAAUUAACAAAUGUGUGAUGACGUUUUGUUUCCUAUCACAUACACUUCCUAAUUUUUACCUUGCGUUCUGUCUCUCCUUCCAUAGCUAGCUCGCUGAAAUCAUGUUCGAAUAGAGUUUGAAUCUGAUAUGUUAGAAAAAUGCAGGGCAAGUAGGGCAAGAUUUUUUUUUUAAAUUAAUUUAGAAACAAGCCUUAAUUACACUUACACAUCUUGUUAUGAAUUAAUGUUAAAUGUUUUUUUUUAUUGAAAGUAUAAUGCCUUUUACUUCCAGCGGCCAAAUGGGAGCACAAUAACACUUAAAAAACAGGAAGCAGUUUUGUUUGAGUAAGCCUCACAAAUAUACCCUGUUGGACUUUGGUAUUAAACUAGAACACUUUUAUGCAAUAGACCCUGCCUACUGUCAUGGACACUAUAAAGCAGUUGUAUGAGCAGACAGGAGGCUAAUUUGUGGUCAAGAUGAGAGGACUGACACUGCUGUGUUUGGUGGGAUUCAUUCUCGCAGCCUCGCUGUCUGAAGGAGGCACGAUGCCACUUGCAAAAAAGGCAAUAAAGACCACUCCACCUCCAUUCAGUAUCUGGAGCCCUCUUAAAAGUGGCGAUGAGUUUCCGACUGAACCACACACAGGAAACGUGAACCAGGGGAAGCAAACAUGAAGACAGAGGGGCCGAACAGAUGGCGACAUGUUUCAAAUCAGAGACAGAGACGACCUCUUAAGUACUCUGCUGGUGUUACUGCCUCCUUCAAAUAAACAUUUCAAGUCUGUUGUGUGA